rnacentral:sRNA from 1 species
UGAGCGGUCCGCCGCCUGCGACGUCGCGAGAAGUCCACUGAACCUUAUCAUUUAGAGGAAGGAGAAGUCGUAACAAGGUUUCCGUAGGUGAACCUGCGGAAGGAUCAUUGACCCGACCUAUCGACCGAACGACCCGUGAACACGUUGUUUAGCAUCCCCGCGGGGGCGGAGCGGGCGUGAGCCCUCCACUCCGUCCUCGACGGAUCGGUAGCCCUCGCGAGCCUCGCCCUCCGUACCGUGCCGGGCGCACUACGUGGGGGGGGCGGCCUGCGGGGGACCUCACCGAUCCAACAACGAACCCCGGCGCGGAAAGCGCCAAGGAAAACGCAACGAAACGACGCCCUCCCGUCGGCCCGCUCGCGGGUGCGCGGGAAGGCGUGGUCGUUUAACUCAUAAAAACGACUCUCGGCAACGGAUAUYUAGGCUCUCGCAUCGAUGAAGAACGUAGCAAAAUGCGAUACUUGGUGUGAAUUGCAGAAUCCCGUGAAUCAUCGAGUCUUUGAACGCAAGUUGCGCCCGACGCCAUUAGGUCGAGGGCACGCCUGCCUGGGCGUCACGCACCCAUCGCCCCUCCACCCCUCCCAAGCGAAAGCGAGGGACUCGGGGCCGGGGCGGACACUGUCCUCCCAUGGAGCAUCGCGUCCGUGGUUGGUYUAAAAUCGGUCCCGSGGSGACGCMCGCCMCGACAAGCGGUGGUUUUGAAACGAACCCCUCUCCCUUCCCCUCGCCCAGAGGGGGAGCCCCACGUCGGGCGCGGCGCUUCGCCUAACGGGGCCCUACGAAAGGCCCGAGAACCUCGAUCGCGACCCCAGGUCAGGCGGGAACACCCGCUGAGUUUAAGCAUAUCAAUAAGCGGAGGAAAAG